rnacentral:rRNA from 1 species
AUUGAACGCUGGCGGCAUGCCUUACACAUGCAAGUCGAACGGUAACAGGUCUUCGGAUGCUGACGAGUGGCGAACGGGUGAGUAAUACAUCGGAACGUGCCUAGUAGUGGGGGAUAACUACUCGAAAGAGUGGCUAAUACCGCAUGAGAUCUACGGAUGAAAGCAGGGGAUCGCAAGACCUUGUGCUACUAGAGCGGCCGAUGGCAGAUUAGGUAGUUGGUGGGAUAAAAGCUUACCAAGCCGACGAUCUGUAGCUGGUCUGAGAGGACGAUCAGCCACCCUGGGACUGAGACACGGCCCCGACCCCUACGGGAGGCAGCAGUGGGGAAUUUUGGACAAUGGGCGAAAGCCUGAUCCAGCAAUGCCGCGUGCAGGAUGAAGGCCUUCGGGUUGUAAACUGCUUUUGUACGGAACGAAAAGCCCCGGGUUAAUACCCUGGGGUCAUGACGGUACCGUAAGAAUAAGCACCGGCUAACUACGUGCCAGCCGCCGCGGUAA